rnacentral:rRNA from 1 species
AUUGAACGCUGGCGGCAGGCCUAACACAUGCAAGUCGAACGGUAACAGAAAGCAGCUUGCUGCUUUGCUGACGAGUGGCGGACGGGUGAGUAAUGUCUGGGAAACUGCCCGAUGGAGGGGGAUAACUACUGGAAACGGUAGCUAAUACCGCAUAACGUCGCAAGACCAAAGAGGGGGACCUUCGGGCAUCUUGCCAUCGGAUGUGCCCAGAUGGGAUUAGCUUGCUGGGGAGAUAACGGCUCACCAAGGCGACGAUCCCUAGCUGGUCUGAGAGGAUGACCAGCCACACUGGAACUGAGACACGGUCCAGACUCCUACGGGAGGCAGCAGUGGGGAAUAUUGCACAAUGGGCGCAAGCCUGAUGCAGCCAUGCCGCGUGUAUGAAGAAGGCCUUCGGGUUGUAAAGUACUUUCAGCGGGGAGGAAGGUGUUGUGGUUAAUAACCACAGCAAUUGACGUUACCCGCAGAAGAAGCACCGGCUAACUCCGUGCCAGCAGCCGCCGUAA